AUUGAACGCUGGCGGCAUGCCUUACACAUGCAAGUCGAACGGCAGCACGGGUGCUUGCACCUGGUGGCGAGUGGCGAACGGGUGAGUAAUACAUCGGAACGUACCUUAUCGUGGGGGAUAACGCAGCGAAAGCUGUGCUAAUACCGCAUACGCCCUGAGGGGGAAAGCGGGGGAUCGCAAGACCUCGCGCGAUUAGAGCGGCCGAUGCCUGAUUAGCUAGUUGGUGGGGUAAAAGCCCACCAAGGCGACGAUCAGUAGCUGGUCUGAGAGGACGAUCAGCCACACUGGGACGGAGAAACGGCCCAGACUCCUACGGGAGGCAGCAGUGGGGAAUUUUGGACAAUGGGGGCAACCCUGAUCCAGCAAUGCCGCGUGAGUGAAGAAGGCCUUCGGGUUGUAAAGCUCUUUUGUCAGGGAAGAAACACCGGCUCUAACACAGUCCGGGAAUGACGGUACCUGAAGAAUAAGCACCGGCUAACUACGUGCCAGCCGCCGCAGUAA
rnacentral:rRNA from 1 species